GACGAACGCUGGCGGCGUGCUUAACACAUGCAAGUCGAACGGUGAAGCUCCCAGCUUGCUGGGGGUGGAUCAGUGGCGAACGGGUGAGUAACACGUGAGCAACCUGCCCCAGACUCCGGAAUAAGCGCUGGAAACGGCGUCUAAUACUGGAUAUGAGAUCAAGCCGCCUGGCUAUGGUCUGGAAAGUUUUUCGGUUUGGGAUGGGCUCGCGGCCUAUCAGCUUGUUGGUGAGGUAAUGGCUCACCAAGGCGACGACGGGUAGCCGGCCUGAGAGGGCGACCGGCCACACUGGGACCGAGACACGGCCCAG
rnacentral:rRNA from 1 species